rnacentral:tRNA from 2 species
UGGGGUAUCGCCAAGCGGUAAGGCUCUGGUCUCUGAAUCCAGCAUGCGUUGGUUCGAAUCCAACUACCCCAGCCA